AUGACCAUGCCACCAGGAAUUGAAACUGGAGCUCCACUCUCCUCUCUUUGUUCUCUCACUGUUUUUUCUGCCCCAGGACUCUUGAUGCUGCUCCUGUUGACAUUGGGAGCUGCAGCCCAGAACAGUAGAGACUGUGCUCAGUGGUGCCCUCCGAAAUCCACGUGUGUUAAUGCCACAGCCUGUCGUUGCUCCCCAGGAUUCAGUUCUUCGUCCGGGAAGAUCUUCACCAGCCUGUUGGAGAGUUGUGAUGACAUCAAUGAGUGUGCACCACCCUUGGCAGUGUCCUGUGGAAAAUUUGCAGACUGCUGGAACACAGAGGGCAGCUACUACUGUACAUGCAGCCCAGGAUACAAGCUUGCUUCUGGGGCAAGAACGUUCAGGGAUGAGAGUGAGAACACGUGUCAAGGCAUCUUUUUUCCCACCUGGACCCCACCCCGUGGAAUCAAGAGCCAGAGACUCUCCCACUUCUUUGAAAGAGUUCAAGAUCUGGGCAGAAAUUUCAUACCAGCCUUUGUCCAGGACACUAUCCAGGACCUUGUACAGGGUGUGGAUGAGCUGCUUGAGACCCCUGAGGACCUGGAGGCCCUGCCCCGCUCAGAGCAGCACUCUGUGGCCACUAACCUGCUCGUUGGCCUGGAGCAUGUCUUGAGAAACCUGAGCCAGACCCUGCCCAAUGGGACAUUGACCUUCAAUGCAUCUGCAGGCACAAACCUGUCCCUGAAGGUGCGGGAGCAAGGAGAUAGAAAUGUCAUCUUGAGUCAGAAUCAGGUGAAGAUGCUGCUGAACUGGGAUGUAAUGCACGAAUCUGAUGACUCAGAUCUUUCUGUGGUGGGCCUUGUCUCCACUCCAAGGAUGGGCAAGUUGCUGGCUGAGGCCCCCUUGGUCCUGGAGCCUGAGAGGCAGGCAGUUCUGCAUGGGACACACAAGGGCGUGCUGCGAGGAGUCUCCCCUGUCCUGCUUUCAAAUGUCAUCUCUGCCUUUAUGGGCAACAGGGAAACCCAGAACCUCAGCUCCCCCAUCACCUUCAUCUUCUCCCACCAUUCAGUGACCCGUGGGCCGAUGCAAAAGGUGUUCUGUGUCUUCUGGGAUCACACUCCAGAUGGAUAUGGUCAUUGGUCCACCACAGGCUGCAGGAUGGUGGCCACUGGAGACACCAGCACCACCUGCCAGUGCACCCACCUCAGCAGCUUUGCAGUCCUCAUGGCCCACUAUUAUGUGCAGGAGGAGGAUCCCACGCUGGCUGUGAUCACCUACCUGGGGCUGAGCCUCUCUCUGCUGUGCCUCCUCCUGGCAGCCCUCACCUUCCUGCUGUGCAAAGCCAUCCAGAACACCAGCACUUCACUCCACCUGCAGCUGUCAAUCUGCCUCUUCCUGGCCCAACUGCUCUUCCUCACGGCCAUCAACCGGACCGAGAUCAAGGUUCUGUGUGCCAUCAUUGCGGGUGCCCUACACUAUCUCUACCUGGCGUCCUUCACCUGGAUGCUGCUGGAGGGUCUGCACCUCUUCCUCACUGCACGCAACCUCACGGUGGUCAGCUACUCCAGUGUGAGCAGGGUCAUGAAGAAGCUCAUGUCCCCUGUGGCCUAUGGAGUCCCGGCUAUAAUUGUGGCCAUUUCUGCGGCAUCCAGGCCUCACCUUUAUGGAACACCCACCCGAUGCUGGCUCCACACAGACAAAGGAUUCAUAUGGAUCUUUCUUGGUCCCGUCUGCACCAUUUUCUCCAUUAAUUUGGCUUUCUUUCUGAUGACCUUCUGGAUUGUGAAAAACAAGCUCUCCUCCGUCAACAGAGAUGUGUCCACCCUCCAGAACACAAGGAUGCUGACAUUUAAAGCCACAGCUCAGCUGCUCAUCUUGGGCUGCACAUGGUGCCUGGGCAUCCUGCAGGUGGGUCCAGCUGCCCAUGUCAUUGCUUACCUCUUCACCGUCAUCAACAGCCUGCAGGGCUUCUUCAUCUUCCUGGUGUACUGCCUCCUCAGCCCACAGGUCUGGGAACAAUACAAGAAAUGGUUCAAAGGGGUCAGGAAAGCCAAAACUGAGUCUGAGAAGUGCACUUUCUCAAGCAGGACCAAGUCUGAUGCCUCCAAACACAGUGUGGUAAGAUUAUGCAGUGCUCCCAGAGCACUUCGCUAACCAAUCCUCUUGA